UCAUCAUCGUCAUGGCCGCUAGCAGAACAGUUCUUUUAUCCCGUCCAAUUUUUUUAUUGAAGGGGCACCUCUCCUACUGGAGGAUUUUCGUCAAACCCGGUCGAAACGCCAAAUGCUCCAUUUCAGGGGAAGCUCUCACUUUCUACGACCGAAUUUGGCCAAUCUGGGACUGAACAUGGCCUUUUUCUGUUAAAAAAUGCCGAACUGUAUGGUUUAUUUCUGUUUAUUUUAUUCGCCAAAAUUAUUUUUGUUUCCUUCUGUCAAAUGUCAAAUCAAGGUGUUCAAAU